AGGCCUGCCUGGCUGCCUCUGAUUUAAUUAUUCACUGAUGAAUCAGACAGCUGCAAUUGUGAAAAAUCAGCGCCCACUAUUGAUUACAGGCCCGAAUGGGGGUGGGGAGGCUGCGGGGAAGGCAGGAGCAAGGCUGGACCCUCGGGUGCCCUCGACCCGGCGACCUCGGCAGGCAGAAGGGCUAGGCUCGGAGCUCCGCAACCAGUCUAGAGCUUCCCUCCCUUCGGGCGGGCUUCCGGCACUCUUGGGCGCCUGGGCAGACGUCCCCACCCGUGCUCCAUCCGAGGAGCCCCAGGGAGCUUGGAGGACUCCCGGCUCUGGCUCUGAGUCGGCAGGUCUCACAAAUGUACCCAGAAAUGUGCCUCGUAAUCUGCUCGGUGCCUCUCAAUCGGAUCAAGCUGACAAUCAAGAUUGAUAAUUGUGGGAAGAAGCCAUCAGAGGACAAGGACUCAAGUGCUGAUGCUGAUAACUAGCAAGAAAAGAUCUCCUCUGGAUAGCUUUCUUGACAAAACAUUUAAUGCGUAGAAUGGAGAUUUUGUCUUCCUGUCCGUUAAGAAGAGUGUGUCUCUGCCCCUCUAGGGUUCAGGGAUCAUUGCAGACGAGGGAAGAGAAGAAAAGCAAGAGCAGGAAGAACCCUCAUCCAGUGGCUGAUGGAAGCAGAAGCAGACACCCACAGCUAAAAACCGAA